rnacentral:rRNA from 1 species
AAUCAACGCUGGCGGCGUGCCUCAGACAUGCAAGUCGAACGAUUAAAGCUCUCUUCGGAGAGUGUAUAGAGUGGCGCACGGGUGAGUAACACGUAAGUAAUCUACCUUUGAGUGGGGAAUAACCCGGGGAAACCCGAGCUAAUACCGCAUAAUGCAGCGGCAUCGCAAGAUGACAGUUGUUAAAGGAGCAAUCCGCUUAAAGAGGAGCUUGCGGCAGAUUAGCUAGUUGGUAAGGUAAUGGCUUACCAAGGCUACGAUCUGUAUCCGGUCUAAGAGGACGGUCGGACACACUGACACUGAAUAACGGGUCAGACUCCUACGGAGGCAGCAGUCGGGAAUUUUGGGCAAUGGCGAAAGCCUGACCCAGCAACGCCGCGUGAAGGAUGAAGUAUUUCGGUAUGUAAACUUCGAAAGAAUAGGAAGAAUAAAUGACGGUACUAUUUAUAAGGUCCGGCU